ensembl:lncRNA
CGCAGAGGACCCAUCUCGAAACGUGGGAAACCAGCGCUGCUAUUUUUAGGAAAAGGAUGGAGAAUGGAGGAUGGACCAGCCCAGGAGAAGGCACAGCCAUCAGCCACUUCAUCCAGUAGCUGAGCCACUCACGGCCCCGUCUGCGAUGAAGACAGAAGGCCCCAUCAGAGAAGCUACGCACCUCACUGAGGUGCCCCCUGCCCCCGCGAUCCACACUGCCAAACAAAUACAGACAUCUACUGUCGUUUUUAAAUAAGGCUCAGCUUCUGUCCCUGGGCCCUGCCCUGGUCCUCUGCAGAAUCAUCUACUUGCAUCCGAAGCAGUUCCUACGAAGGGGUAAUGUACAUGUUAUUUGCAUGUGCUUCCUCUCUGGUCUCUUCUGCCUGGUCCCAUUAUGGCUCCAGGACACACACUGGACACGGGCAGGGGGAGGGGGACUUGGGUGAGGAUGGGAGUCUGUGAAGGGAGGGAGGGCUGUCCAUGACACGAUGGUGAUGAGCUCCUGUCUGUCGGGUGAGCCUGGGCUCCAAUGCAAGUGAGGUAAAAGCCAGAUCACUUUCCCAUGGUAGACAAGCCCUGCCAGCCCUUGAACCCUUGCUUUCACCGCAGGAGGCUUGGACGAAUUCUUGAGGACACUAUCAAAAAUUCUUCUCACCCAGACUGAGCUCCUCUAGACCUAAAAGACAUGUAUUUCUCCUCUUUCUGUUGGACAGGCCGAAAUUAAUCCUAAGGGAGAAGAACAUUGUCCAGAGGGUAUUUGCAAGUCACCUCUCAGCAGGACAUUGCUUUCGGCUAGUCUGAAUCUGUGCCUAAGGUGACAGUGAGAGAAGCCAUCUGAGCUCACUUUCCCCUCUUAGGAUGGAAGAAC